CGAGAACAACAAUAACAACAGCAGUUUUAAAAACGAAAACCUCUCGACGAGCAGUGGCUAUUAUAUUAUUUUCCUGUCAAUGUUCUCAUUUUCAUUAAAAGGCGUAAGAUGACAAAAACAAGAUCUUGAAGAAUCUAUCUAUAUACUACUAAAACUCUGAGAUUGUUUGUUGUUUGCUUGUCUGUAAUUAAAUAAGCAAAAACAGCGCACAACAGCGCCAUAUUUGUAAGAAUACGGUACCCCUGAAGUGAGAAUAGAAACAGAAUAAAACAAGUUUCGUUAAAAUCGGGCCACGGGUUACCGAGUUGGCGCCGUUUUUCGGGUCACUUUUAUGAAAAUUUCUAGC